GAGUUUGAUCAUGGCUCAGAUUGAACGCUGGCGGCAUGCCUUACACAUGCAAGUCGAACGGUAGCACGGGAGCUUGCUCCUGGUGGCGAGUGGCGAACGGGUGAGUAAUGCAUCGGAACGUAUCCUGGAGUGGGGGAUAACGUAGCGAAAGUUACGCUAAUACCGCAUAUUCUGUGAGCAGGAAAGCGGGGGACCUUCGGGCCUCGCGCUCUUGGAGCGGCCGAUGUCGGAUUAGCUAGUUGGUGAGGUAAAGGCUCACCAAGGCGACGAUCCGUAGCAGGUCUGAGAGGAUGAUCUGCCACACUGGAACUGAGACACGGUCCAGACUCCUACGGGAGGCAGCAGUGGGAAUUUUGGACAAUGGGGGCAACCCUGAUCCAGCCAUGCCGCGUGAGUGAAGAAGGCCU
rnacentral:rRNA from 1 species